ACGUCCAUACCACGCUGAACACAUCGGAUCUCGUCCGAUCACACGAAGUUAAGUAGGGUCGGGUGCCCUCACUACCUACUUAUAUGGGUGACCGCCUGGAAACUCCGCGUGAUGUU